AUUUGAUGUCUUUUGCAUUUCCAUAUGAAUUUUAGGAUCAGAUGUCUCUUGCACUUCCAUAUGAAUUUUAGGAUCAGCUUAUCCUUUUCUGCAAAAAAGGCAAUUGGACAUUUCACAGGGCUUGCAUUUAAUCCGUAGAUAAUUUUGGGGGGUUACUGUCAUUUUAACAAUAUUAAGUCUUUCAGUCCAUGAACACAGGAUGUCUAUUUAUUUAGAUCUUUCAUUUUUUAAAAUAAUAUUUUGUGGUUUUUAGUGUACAAAUCUUAUAUUUCCUUGAUUAAAUUUAUUCCUAAGUAUUUUAUUCUUUUUGAUGUAUUGUGAAGGGAACUGCUUUGUUAAUUUCAUUUUCAGAUUGCUCAUUGCUGUGGUAUAGAAAUAUAACUAAUUUUUGUAUAUUGGACACUGAUCUUGAACACUGACACUUUGCAGAGCUAGUUUAUUUAAAACUAAAGCUACUAUUGUUUUAGUGAAUUCUUUAGGGUUUUCUGUAUAUAAUAUCAUGUUUUCUCCAAAUAGAGAUAAUUUUAUCUCUUACUUUCCAAUCUAGAUGUCUUUUAAUUCUUUUUUUUUUUUUUUGACUAAUUUCCCUGGCUAGAACCUCCAGUACAAUGUUGAAUGAAGUGGCAAAAGCAGACAUACUUAUCUUGUUCCUGAAAGCUUUUAGUUUUUCAUCAUUAAUCAUGAUGUUUGCUGUGGGUUUUCAAUAGUUGGCUUUCAUCAUGUUGAGAAAGUUCCCUUCUAUUCCUAGUUUGUUGUGUGUUUUCAUCAAGAAAUAGUAUUGGAUUUUGUCAUAUGCUUUUUCUGCAUAUAUUGAAAUGGUCAUGUGUUUUCUUUCCUUUAUUCUAUUAAUAUGAUGUUACUUUGAUUAUUUUUGCAGGUUGGACCAAUCUUGCAUUCCUGAGAAAAAUUCCACUUGUAAUGGUAUACAGUAUACUUACUUCAGCAGAAUAUUGAAUAACCCAAGUCUUUAUCAUCACAGAAGGAAAUGUUGAUUCUUUAUUAUAUCUGGCUUCAAGAUUAUCUAUCAAAGAUGUCAUUGUACAUGAUUUUGGAGUUUUUGUCAUCUCAAUUCUACAUGGAGCAAAAUUAACAUCUUUUUUUUUAAAUUUUAUCUUAAGAAGAUUUGAAGAUUUCUCAAAAUGAACUUUUUCUUGAAGGAAGCUUGUUCUAAAUGGAAUCAAACAAAUAAAACUUAAAUGAAGCUCUUAAAGAAUAACUUAUUGUUAUGAAUACUAAGUAGUAGAUUAAACAACCCUACAAUGAUCAGAAGUCUGCAACUGAGAAGCCCUUCUGCCACUAACAGCAACGUUCUUGGGUUCAAAAAAUAUUCUGAGCUUUCUCUGACCAAUAAUGUAAGUAGACGUGGUAUUGGAGUGUGUAUUCAUUUCCUAGGGCUACUGUAACAAAGUAUCCCAAGUUGGGUAGCUUUAAACAACAGAAAUUUAUUGUCUAUAGUUCUGGAGGCUGGAAGUCCAAAAUCAAAGUUUCAGCAGUGCCAUGCUCCCUCCAAAACCUGUAGAAGAAUCCUUCCCUGAUUCUUUCUAGUUUCUGGUGGUUUGCUGGCAAUCUGUGGUGUUCCUUUACUUGUAGCUGUCAAGGAACUCCAAUCCUCUGUCUUCACAUGGCAUUCUCCCUGUCUAUGUCUUUAUGUGGCCAUCUUCUUAUGAGGAUACCAGUUAUAUUGUAUUGGGAGGCCACCCUAUGCCAGCACCUCAUCUGAACUAAUUACAUCUGUAACCAUACUAUUUCCAAAUAAGGUCACAUUCUGAGGUGCUGGGGGUUAGGACUUCAACAUUUCUUUUGUGGGGGACCUAAUUCAAUUAAUAACAGGGUGCAUCUGCCCUAAGUUCCUAAUUCUGAUGCAUCUCUGGUUUAAAAAAUAAAUCUUGGAAAUAUGGUUGGUUAUAUAGCUGUUCCUUGGUAAAAUUUUCACUGCUGUUUCCUUCCUAUCUUUUUUUUUUUUCUGAUAUCUUUGUAUAAAUUCUGAUCUGGUUAUAAAGUUCUGACAUAGUUAACAAUGUGAUUUUUCUUAAAAAUGCCAAAUUAUCUUGGUAUACAUCAAAAUGCUUUUUCAGAAGCAAGCGAUCAUGGUUAUUAAAUAGGACAAUGAUUUUGAAUUCAAUGUAUAAUGCCUCAUUUUUAUUUCAGACUUAUUCUUUAAAGAGUUAACAUUAAUUUCCUGUAAACUAAUGCUGCUUUAGAAAUAAUGAACUACAACUUUUUAAAGUGACUUAUAAAACUAAUGUUAGAACAGAGUUAACAAACUAUGGCAUAUUGGAUAUUUUAUUUAAAACAUGGGGCCUGGGAACAGAAAGAAAAAUUACAUUUAAGGACCUAGCAGGAUUUGGCUAAAUUUCUUCUCUAUAUAAGCAGACUGAGUGGGUGCAGAAGCUCGUAGGUAAUUCCAUGUGACAGACCUAUUUCAUUUUCUCUUUCAAGUUCACCAUUAACCUUGGUUUUAAAGGAACAAGAAGGCUUCAAAAAUGUACUUACAAAUAUGUCAUUUAGUAAAGGUUAAAAGACAGACUCUUGCAUAAUAUGCAGUUCCAAAAAUAUCACUACUUGAAGUAGCCAUUUGGAAGCUUGUCCAGAUCCUUAAGAAGAAAAUAAAUAUCGCUCCCCUUCUUUACCUGUUGAUUUAAUAUAUUACAUGGGGAAUUAAAGAGAGCAGAAAACUUUUAGUUGGCUCCUUUGAACUGUAAGUAAGGAUUUUGGUGCUGACAUUCCAAUGGUAGCACAUGCCUGCGCAUGACCAUUGAUUUGAGUAAAGUCUUAGUUAUCACAUCAGAUUCUGUCUGGCACCCACAAUUCAGGAUAGUCUUAAAUAACAAUGAGUUAAAGAGCUGGGUACAGGAGUGGGUUUCAUAUACUCUUGAUUCAGCUUAGGUUGGUUCAUCCUAGAACUAUCUUAAAAUUUACAGGAAGUAAAUUCUUCUUUGGGUUCCUUCAUUGAGUCAUGUGAAAGUCUGCUACAGAGUGAAGUGUUCAUUUCAUGUUCCCUUUAUAGGUAAAUUAAAGUGUAUGGUGACAAAACAUUGAAAUAUUAUAAUAUAUAAAGUAAAAUCAUAGGAACAUAAUAUUUUAAACUUAACAUUGAUUUACCAAUCAGUCUUCAUUUUAUACUGAGAUGGGUCUUUAAAUUUUUGAAUAUAAGUUGAUUUUUGGUUAACAGUGACCAUUAUUUUAGAAUAUAAUAUGCUUAGCUUUAUAUGUAUUUAAGGAAGGGCUCAUUUAUCUAUCCUGUCAUCAGUUCCUAUUUUAAUCAUAAUUCCUUUCUUUGAAGAGACAACUAUUAUACAUAUUACACAUCAAUUGCAACAGGCAAUGAAUUUAUCAUUAAUCACCUUGUUAAACAGAAUUGAAUAGAAAUAUGCUCAAGUAGUACAACAAAAAAUACCUAGAGUAUAUAUUCAAUUUUUAAAGGUGUUAUACUACAAAAAUUAGAUUCUACUCCCAGCUAUUAUAAUCAUUCUGAGGCAAACUGGCUCGAAAGUACUACAGUACUUUACAGUACUAAAUUUCCAUAAGAGAAAAAAAUUUGGAGAGUAUCUCAGUUUGUAAUGAAUAAAAGAAAUCCUCAGAAUUUCAUCUCUAAACCACAGACAGCAAAGCAUUUCAUUGAAUUGAAAUUGAAGCCAGGUUCAACCCAUGUUAUUAUGACUUCACUUAAAGCAAUUACUGUAUUUCUUUAAAGUUCUGUAGGCUCUCAAAUCACAAUUUAACAGUAUGACUAAAGCUAUACUAAAUACUCAAAAGCAAAGUUUUCUUAAAGGGAGGGAAAUGGCAGGUAUAAAUUUAGCAUGGUUCACAAAGAUCAACAAAAUAAUCAUACUACUAAAAGACAGCAUCACAUGUUAACUUAGAGUGAACAUAAAAUUCGUAAUAUAUAAACACUUCAACCUCUAGAGCAGGUUUGGCAGUGGGAAGAAGAUUGAAAGAUAAUUAGUUUGAUUUGGGAAAUGCUAAUGGACUAGUAGGACAAUGCCAGAUGGUAUUCAGAUGACUUUUCAGAGGCAAUAGAUUGAUUUACUAAUAUGUAUGUAGUUCUAGCAGUAUUUUUUUUUUUUUUUUUGCAGUACACGGGCCUCUCACUGUUGUGGCCUCUCCCGUUGCGGAGCACA